GUAUCUAGAAAAUAAAUUUUGCGAUUUUUCGAUAUCAUUUGCCUAGUGAUCGAAGUGGCUCAAAAUCAACGGCUGAAAAUAAAAAUCUCACAAAAUAUGAUGAUAUGACAUUAAAAUUUUAGAUCAAAGUUAUUGAUCUUGUUUUAUAUGGUAUAAAGAAUUUUCUAUCAAAAUUUCACGUGAUUUGGAUAUUUCUACACCGUUAAACUUGCAACCGGCUCACACGGCCGUUAAAAUUAUUGAUUUUGAGCCCCUUCGAUCACUAGGCAAAUGAUAUCGAAAAAUCACAAAAUUUAAUUUCUUGGUACUUUAAAUACUCUAAAUCAACUCUAACGGAGCCGAUCGUCGAUUCGAAAGUCCAAACAUCGAAAACAAAGUGUAAGCACGGAGGCCUCCGUGCUUACGAAAGCAUACCAGCCCACUCUAUAUAUAUAUAUAUAUAUAUAUAUAUAUAUAUA
rnacentral:lncRNA from 1 species